ACAAGAAAUAACAACUCGGGCCUCACACGAGGUUACGAGAUUGCAAUGAGAACAAUUUAAACCUCUUAUCGAGUAACAAUUGGAGGGCAAGUCUGGUGCCAGCAGCCGCGGUAAUUCCAGCUCCAAUAGCGUAUAUUAAAGUUGUUGCAGUUAAAAAGCUCAGUAGUUGAAUAUCUGGCCGGUGGUGUGUUGGCUCCCUGAGUCGAUGCAUCGCCUGGUUAUCCGUAUGGGAAGCUAGCUCGGCCUUCACUGGUCGGCUAGUGGAUCAUACACUUUACUUUGAAAAAAUUAGAGUGUUUCAGGCAGGCAAUUGCUUGGAUACUUGAGCAUGGAAUAAUGGAAUAGG
rnacentral:rRNA from 1 species